AUGUCGGCACUCAUGCAACAAAAGGAGCUCGCCAUGAGCACCGAUGAGUUGCUCCAAGCUCAGGUGGAGCUCUACCACCACUCUUUCGCCUUCGUCAAAUCACUGGCGCUCAAGGCCGCCACAGACCUAUGCAUCCCGGAUGCCAUCCAGCACCUCGGAGGCGCCGCCACCUUGUCAGACCUCGCCGCCGAAACCGGGAUCCACCCCACGAAGCUCUCCAACCUCCGACGCCUCAUGCGCGUGCUCACCACCUCCGGAGUCUUCUCCGUCACCGGUGAUCAUGCCGGCGCUGUGUACAAGCUCACCCGUGUCUCCCGCCUCCUCGUCGUCGACAGAGCUGGCGGGCGCACCCACCUGUCCCCCGUGGUGUCCGCGUUUGUGAGCCCGUACCCCGUGACCACGCUCUUCAGCAUGCGCGAGUGGUUCACCGACGAGCGGGCGGCGGCCAUGUCGCUGUUCGAGGUGGCGCACGGCUGCACACUGUGGGAGGCUGCGGCAAUGGACGGCACCGCGUUCAACGCUGCCAUGGCCGCCGACAGCCGCUUCACUAUGGAGAACCUCCUCCGGGAGUGCGGCAGUGUGUUCGAAACCGUGAGGGGCUCACUGGUUGACGUCGGUGGCGGCCAUGGCGCCGCUGCUGCGGCCAUCGCGAGAGCGUUCCCACACGUCAAGUGCACCGUGCUGGACCUCCCCCACGUGGUCGCCACGGCUCCUACCGAUGACAAAUUGACCUUCGUUGGCGGUGAUAUGUUUGACAACGUCCCACCAGCUGACGCUGUUCUUCUUAAGUGGGUUUUGCAUGACUGGCAACACGAAGAUUGCGUCAAAAUAUUGCGACGGUGCAAAGAAGCCAUCCCGGCGAGGAACGUGGGAGGAAAGGUGAUAAUCGUGGAUACAGUGAUUGGAUCUGCAGGGUCACAGCAGGGCAUCGCCUCCAAGGAGACUGAGGUUUUGUUCGACGUCUUCAUGAUGGCCGCAGACGGGGUCGAGCGAGAGGAGCACGAAUGGAGCAAGAUUUUCAUUGAAGCCGGAUUCACUGACUACAAGAUUACACCGACGAUGGGGCUUCGUUCAAUCAUUGAACUGUAUCCAUGA
rnacentral:rRNA from 1 species